rnacentral:rRNA from 1 species
GAUGAACGCUGGCGACGUGCUUAACACAUGCAAGUCGAACGGUGAAGGCGGAGCUUGCUCUGCUGGAUCAGUGGCGAACGGGUGAGUAACACGUGAGCAAUCUGCCCCUGACUCUGGGAUAAGCGCUGGAAACGGCGUCUAAUACUGGAUACGAGCUGCGAAGGCAUCUUCAGCAGCUGGAAAGAAUUUCGGUCAGGGAUGAGCUCGCGGCCUAUCAGCUUGUUGGUGAGGUAAUGGCUCACCAAGGCGUCGACGGGUAGCCGGCCUGAGAGGGUGACCGGCCACACUGGGACUGAGACACGGCCCAGACUCCUACGGGAGGCAGCAGUGGGGAAUAUUGCACAAUGGGCGAAAGCCUGAUGCAGCAACGCCGCGUGAGGGACGACGGCCUUCGGGUUGUAAACCUCUUUUAGCAGGGAAGAAGCGAAAGUGACGGUACCUGCAGAAAAAGCGCCGGCUAACUACGUG